rnacentral:rRNA from 1 species
UAACCUACGGGGGGCAGCAGUGGGGAAUAUUGCACAAUGGGGGAAACCCUGAUGCAGCAACGCCGCGUGAGUGAAGAAGUAUUUCGGUAUGUAAAGCUCUAUCAGUAGGGAAGAAGAAAGACGGUACCCUUGGAGGAAGCCCCGGCUAACUACGUGCCAGCAGCCGCGGUAAUACGUAGGGGGCAAGCGUUAUCCGGAAUUAUUGGGCGUAAAGAGUGCGUAGGUGGUUACUUAAGCGCGGGGUUUAAGGCAAUGGCUCAACCAUUGUUCGCCCUGCGAACGGGGUUACUUGAGUGCAGGAGAGG